rnacentral:lncRNA from 1 species
UUCGCAUGGCCAUUUCAGGACAGCCCACACCUGAAGGUCCACGAGCAGCUGCUUUUCUUCCCUGACUUGGAAACUCCAGAGCUGGGCUGCCUUUCUGAGGUCGACAGUCUAACAACCCGCUGCUUGCCCUUGAUUCUCCUUUCUGUGCCUUCUCCAAGAGCCCUGCCGUGUUUUUCCAUGGACUUGGCGGCUGAGAGCUCAGAUGACCCCAGGCCUGUAUCAGUUCCAAUGGCAACUUUCCCAGUGUGGUGGUAAAGGUUCCUCUCCACCUCAAGGGUUCCCAGUAGCACAGGCUGGUUCUGAAGUGCCUAAGUAGCUGGGACAGACCUAUGUGGAGAGCUCUUGGGGCCACUCAUAGAAAUUUGGCAAGUAUUUGUCACUGGGUUCAAGGAAGUAGGCUCAGAUAAGAAUUCACAUUUGGGCUGAUGCAAAGCUCAAGGUGAUUGAUGGUGGUUAAAGGAGGCAGAACGUGGCUGCCCUGGAGGAAGGUCUACUGCGGGAAGGAGCCACAGACACCUUGGAGGCCUCAAGAGCUGUGCUAGUGUAAGCUCGACACUCGGCGGUCGCCACGUCCCCAGCCCCGCCCACGCGAGCUCGCAGGGAACCCCGGUGACGUCACCACCCGCAGCGCCCUCCUUCCCGCGCUCUCCAGAAAGGACGCGAAGGUGGUGACGUGUCCGGAGCGCCAGCGCGGCUGUGCACAAAGCGCGUGACCAACCUGCGGCGCCGCCUGGCGGAAGAACAGUGGCGGUGUGGCUGGAAGCGACGUGCGGCGGCAGCGUGGUGACGUCACCUCGCGGGGCCACGUGACCGCGUGCUGUUCCGGCUUCUCCCCUCUACCGGUGUGGGCAGAAACGUGGCUUCUUUACUUGCUCUACUUGGUCUCCUGAAACUGCCUGGCUGCUUGGUCGCGCUGCGGGUCAUGGGAAGUUUGAGGAUCAUACUCAUUCUCUGCCCUUGUCAUUAACCGAAAUUGUGUCUCAGGAUGGGCCAGAAAGCACCAUCUUCAGCCACAUCAGCAGAUCGCAUGUGAUGCUCUGUGUCAUUAUGCAGACGUGGAGUUUACGAACUAGUCCAGAGUAUCCCGAGUAUCCCGAGUCAUUCAGGAGCGCAGUCCAGGCCUCAGCCAUAGCUGCUGGACCCACACCAAGCCGUAGAAGGGAAGGCAGGAAGGAAGUCACAAAUCCUUUUGGGAACCAACCUUGUUAUUUGAAAGGCAGUUUUUCACAUAGCACUUCGUACAGUGUCAGGGUGCUUCCUAGAAAUGCAGGUCUUGGACCUUGCCUUAAAGCUUACAAUUCAGAUAGACACUUUUGUUGACACGGGGUCUCACCUUGGCUGACCUGGUUCUAUGUAGACAAGGUUGCCCUUGAAGGUGUGCACCAUAGUGACCAGCUAGAAUAUACAUUUCAACAAGAUCCCAGAGUGAGUCCUAUAAGUACUGGUUUGACAGAUUACUGUGCAUCAAGCCCUACCGUGAAAAUGGUAAUAUCAAAGUCACAGGCCUGCCCCAAGUUAAGCCCCAACUGAAUGGACAGUUGGCUAGAACUGUCCCAAGGGCUUGUAUGGCCUGGCCACACCCCAUUUCCACAAGGUGCUUGUCCAGCCUUUACUGUAAACACAAGGCACCCCCCCCCCCCUCCAAGCAGGUUGGAGCUGGGUGUUUCGUCAUUUACAAUUAAAACAGAGUUAUCAGUUAUAAGACAUUCCUAUCAAGGGGCUGGAGAGAUAGAUGGUACAGCAGUUAGGAGUAUUGGCUGCUCUUCCAGGGGACCUAGGUUCCCAGCACCUACAUGAUGGUUCACAAUCCUCCCUAACUUCAGUUGCAGGCGCUCCAACAACCUUUCCUGAUUUCCCAAGGCACCAGGCACCCAUGUGUUCAUAUAUACAUGUUGGCAAAGCAUGAGAGAGAGAGAAAAAAAACCCCUGCAUAUCAAACCAAUGUAUUUCAAGUUGAAAGAAUAUAUACGUAGAAGUAAACUAAACAUAAUUUUAGUACUGUGUAGAACUCAAUCUGUAGCCCCAGUGAGACUUCAGGAAGAGUAAUUCCUAGAACCCAGGGAAAAAUGAAGACUCAGUGGGAAAACUGACUGGCAUGAUAGUGUAAAGGGAAGUCAUGGCAGGUGUGUAGAAAAUGCUUCCUCCUCUCCUAGAAGGCAAAUCUUCACUUCCUCCACCAUCUUAGUUCUAGGAUGAGUGAACCUAGAACUUUUGAAUUUUAUCAGCUGCUUUUAAAAAACAAAAAAAAAAAACAGGUUCUCACUUUGUAGUUCUUGCUGUCCUAGAACUCACUGUAUAGAUCAGGCUGGCCUCAAACUCAGAGAUCUGUCUGCCUCUGCCUCCCGAGUGCUCAGCUGCUCUUAAUUUUGAAUAAUAAUAAUGAUAAAAUAAUAACAAUAAAUUUAAAAAUGCCUUUAAUCCCAGAACUUGGGAGGUAGAGGCAGAUGAAUUUCUUGAGUUCUAGGCCAGCCUGGUCUACUGAGUUCCAGGACAGCCAGGGCUACACAGAGAAACCUUGUUGUGUGGGGUGGGUGGGUGGAGGUGGUGGUGAAUAUGUGUUGCUGAUCCCCUGGCACUGCCUACUUUCCUGUUGACAAGAUAAAUUCUCCCACAGGUUCUAAUUGUAAAAUCAUGACAUCAAUGGCACCAUUUGGAAAAACUAGUGACACUGUACUUUAUUUUGUUAUCAGAAUAAAGAGUGAUUGGAGCUCUUGGGCAGAGAGAGAGGACCCUGCUCGGCCCAGGGCAUCGUUAACUUUCC